GCUUAGAAGUGUGGACGCCAGUCUGCAUGGAGCCGACCUUGAAAUACCACCCUUUAAUGUUUGAUGUUCUAACGUUGACCCGUAAUCCGGGUUGCGGACAGUGUCUGGUGGGUAGUUUGACUGGGGCGGUCUCCUCCUAAAGAGUAACGGAGGAGCACGAAGGUUGGCUAAUCCUGGUCGGACAUCAGGAGGUUAGUGCAAUGGCAUAAGCCAGCUUGACUGCGAGCGUGACGGCGCGAGCAGGUGCGAAAGCAGGUCAUAGUGAUCCGGUGGUUCUGAAUGGAAGGGCCAUCGCUCAACGGAUAAAAGGUACUCCGGGGAUAACAGGCUGAUACCGCCCAAGAGUUCAUAUCGACGGCGGUGUUUGGCACCUCGAUGUCGGCUCAUCACAUCCUGGGGCUGAAGUAGGUCCCAAGGGUAUGGCUGUUCGCCAUUUAAAGUGGUACGCGAGCUGGGUUUAGAACGUCGUGAGACAGUUCGGUCCCUAUCUGCCGUGGGCGCUGGAGAACUGAGGGGGGCUGCUCCUAGUACGAGAGGACCGGAGUGGACGCAUCACUGGUGUUCGGGUUGUCAUGCCAAUGGCACUGCCCGGUAGCUAAAUGCGGAAGAGAUAAGUGCUGAAAGCAUCUAAGCACGAAACUUGCCCCGAGAUGAGUUCUCCCUGACUCCUUGAGAGUCCUGAAGGAACGUUGAAGACGACGACGUUGAUAGGCCGGGUGUGUAAGCGCAGCGAUGCGUUGAGCUAACCGGUACUAAUGAACCGUGAGGCUUAACCUU
rnacentral:rRNA from 1 species